GCGAGAGUGGCGGAAUUGGUAGACGCACCGGCCUUAGGAGCCGACGGCUAUGCCGUAGGGGUUCGAAUCCCCUCUCUCGCACCA
rnacentral:tRNA from 1 species